AGGCCAUGGUGAGGACAUUCUUAAAGUAGAUCCUUAAAUCUCUCCAUAAGCUUGGAAAAGGAGUCACUAGGCUUUUGCCUAAACUGAAGGAUAUCACUUCUAAGCUU